rnacentral:tRNA from 2 species
GCCCUUGUAGUUUAAUCGGAUAAAACGGCCGCCUCCUAAGUGGCAGCUCCAGGUUCGAUUCCUGGCAGGGGCACCA